rnacentral:rRNA from 1 species
CUACGUGCCAGCAGCCGCGGUAAUACGGGGGGUGCGAGCGUUAAUCGGAAUAACUGGGCGUAAAGGGCACGCAGGCGGUGACUUAAGUGAGAUGUGAAAGCCCCGGGCUUAACCUGGGAAUUGCAUUUCAUACUGGGUCGCUAGAGUACUUUAGGGAGGGGUAGAAUUCCACGUGUAGCGGUGAAAUGCGUAGAGAUGUGGAGGAAUACCGAAGGCGAAGGCAGCCCCUUGGGAAUGUACUGACGCUCAUGUGCGAAAGCGUGGGGAGCAAACAGGAUUAGAUACCCUGGUAGUCCACGCUGUAAACGAUGUCGAUUUGGGGAUUGGGCUUUAAGCUUGGUGCCCGUAGCUAACGUGAUAAAUCGACCGCCUGGGGAGUACGGCCGCAAGGUUAAAACUCAAAUGAAUUGACGGGGGCCCGCACAAGCGGUGGAGCAUGUGGUUUAAUUCGAUGCAACGCGAAGAACCUUACCUACUCUU